rnacentral:snoRNA from 1 species
AUGACCUUACUUGAACAGGAUCUGUUCUAUAGGAUCGUACUACUGUGUCCUUGAUUUCUAAGGAGACAGGAACAAAAAUCUGGAUGAUGAACUACGACCGUGUGAUCAGAGUGUGAUUAACGGCUUGGAUGAUUCUCAAUUUGAGAUAUCACCCNNNNGAUCAGUAAUAUCUGAUCUGGGUGGUCACAUGGUGUUCUUACAGAUU